rnacentral:rRNA from 1 species
UACGGGGGGGGGCAAGCGUUGUUCGGAAUUACUGGGCGUAAAGGGCUCGUAGGCGGCCAACUAAGUCAGACGUGAAAUCCCCAGGCUCAACCUGGGAACUGCGUCUGAUACUGGAUGGCUUGAAUUCGGGAGAGGGAUGCAGAAUUCCAGGUGUAGCGGUGAAAUGCGUAGAUAUCUGGAGGAAUACCGGUGGCGAAGGCGGCAUCCUGGACCGACAUUGACGCUGAGGAGCGAAAGCGUGGGGAGCAAACAGG